GCGCCCGUAGCUCAGCGGAAUUAGAGUAUCUGGCUUCGAACCAGAGGGUCGCAGGUUCAAAUCCUGCCGGGCGCGCCA
rnacentral:tRNA from 1 species